rnacentral:rRNA from 1 species
AUUGAACGCUGGCGGCAGGCUUAACACAUGCAAGUCGAGCGGAGCGAGGGUGCUUGCACCUUAGCUUAGCGGCGGACGGGUGAGUAAUGCUUAGGAAUCUGCCUAUUAGUGGGGGACAACAUUCCGAAAGGAAUGCUAAUACCGCAUACGCCCUACGGGGGAAAGCAGGGGAUCUUCGGACCUUGCGCUAAUAGAUGAGCCUAAGUCGGAUUAGCUAGUUGGUGGGGUAAAGGCCUACCAAGGCGACGAUCUGUAGCGGGUCUGAGAGGAUGGUCCGCCACACUGGGACUGAGACACGGGCCAGACUCCUAAGGGAGGCAGCAGUGGGGAAUAUUGGACAAUGGGCGGAAGCCUGAUCCAGCCAUGCCGCGUGUGUGAAGAAGGCCUGUUGGUUGUAAAGAACUUUAAGCGAGGAGGAGGCUACUUAGAUUAAUACUCUGGGAUAGUGGACGUUACUCGCAGAAUAAGCACCGGCUAACUCUGUGCCAGCAGCCGCCGUAA